rnacentral:rRNA from 1 species
GACGAACGCUGGCGGCGUGCUUAACACAUGCAAGUCGAACGGAAAGGCCCUGCUUUUGUUGUGUGCUCGAGUGGCGAACGGGUGAGUCACACGUGAAUAACCUGCCCUUUACUUUGGGAUAACGGCAAUAAACUUGGGCUAAUACCGGAUAUGAGCUCCUGCUGCAUGGUGGGGUUUGGAAAGUUUCGGCGGUUGGGGUAGGACUCGCGGCUUAUCAGCUUGUUGGUGGGGUAGUGGCUUACCAAGGCUUUGACGGGUAGCCGGCCUGAGAGGGUGACCGGCCACAUUGGGACUGAGAUACGGCGCAGACUCCUACGGGAGGCAGCAGUGGGGAAUAUUGCACAAUGGGCGGAAGCCUGAGGCAGCAACGCCGCGUGCGGGAUGACGGCCUUCGGGUUGUAAACCGCUUUCGCCUGGGACGAAGCGUGAGUGACGGUAAUGGGUAAAGAAGCACCGGCUAACUACGUG